rnacentral:rRNA from 1 species
GACGAACGCUGGCGGCGUGCUUAACACAUGCAAGUCGUACGGUAAGGCCCUUUCGGGGGUACACGAGUGGCGAACGGGUGAGUAACACGUGAGUAACCUGCCCACAACUUUGGGAUAACGCUAGGAAACUGGUGCUAAUACUGGAUAUGUGCUCCUGCUGCAUGGUGGGGGUUGGAAAGCUCCGGCGGUUGUGGAUGGACUCGCUGCCUAUCAGCUUGUUGGUGGGGUAGUGGCCUACCAAGGCGGCGACGGGUAGCCGGCCUGAGAGGGUGACCGGCCACAUUGGGACUGAGAUACGGCCCAGACUCCUACGGGAGGCAGCAGGGGGGAAUAUUGCACAAUGGGCGCAAGCCUGAUGCAGCAACGCCGCGUGCGGGAUGACGGCCUUCGGGUUGUAAACCGCUUUCAGCAGGGACGAAGCUUUUUGUGACGGUACCUGCAGAAGAAGCACCGGCUAACUACGUG